GUCUACGGCCAUGCCACCCUGAACACACCCGAUCUCAUCUGAUCUCAGAAGCUAAGCAGCGUCAGGCCUGGUUAGUACUUGGAUGGGAGACCACCUAGGAAGAAGACCAGGUGCUGUAGGCC
rnacentral:rRNA from 1 species